rnacentral:rRNA from 1 species
UUCCGGUUGAUCCCGCCGGAGGUCACUGCUAUCGGGGUUCGAUUAAGCCAUGCGAGUCGAGAGGGUUCGGCCCUCGGCGUACUACUCAGUAACACGUGGAUAACCUACCCUAAGGAAGGGGAUAACCUCGGGAAACUGAGGAUAAUACCCUAUAGGUUACAGACGCUGGAAUGCCCUGUAACCGAAAGCUCCGGCGCCUUAGGAUGGAUCUGCGGCCGAUUAGGUUGUUGUUGGGGUAACGGCCCAACAAGCCGAUAAUCGGUACGGGUUGUGGGAGCAAGAGCCCGGAGUUGGAUUCUGAGACAUGAAUCCAGGCCCUACGGGGCGCAGCAGGCGCGAAAACUUUACAAUGCGGGAAACCGUGAUAAGGGAACCCCGAGUGCCUGUAUAUGCAGGCUGUCCAGGUGUCUAAAAAACACCUGAAGAAAGGGCCGGGCAAGACCGGUGCCAGCCGCCGCGGUAAUACCGGCGGCUCGAGUGGUGGCCACUUUUAUUGGGCUUAAAGCGUUCGUAGCUGGGUUGUUAAGUCUCUUGGGAAAUCUGACGGCUCAACCGUCAGGCGUCCAAGGGAUACUGGCAAUCUUGGAACCGGGAGAGGUGAGGGGUACUUCGGGGGUAGGAGUGAAAUCCUGUAAUCCUCGAGGGACCACCUGUGGCGAAGGCGCCUCACCAGAACGGCUUCGACAGUGAGGGACGAAAGCUGGGGGAGCAAACCGGAUUAGAUACCCGGGUAGUCCCAGCCGUAAACGAUGCGCGUUAGGUGUAUCGGUGACCACGAGUCACCGAGGUGCCGAAGGGAAACCGUGAAACGUGCCGCCUGGGAAGUACGGUCGCAAGGCUGAAACUUAAAGGAAUUGGCGGGGGAGCACCACAACGGGUGGAGCUGCGGUUUAAUUGGAUUCAACGCCGGG